CGCACAUUGCGCCCAUUAGUAUUCUAGUGGGCAUGCCUGUUCGAGCGUCAUUUCAACCCUUAAGCCUAGCUUAGCGUUGGGAGACUGCACUAAACCGCAGCUCCUCAAAACCAGUGGCGGAGUCUGUUCGUACUCUGAGCGCAGUAAUUUAUUAUCUCGCUUCUGUAAGUACGGCUGACGACAGCCAUAAACCGCACCCUUCGGGGGCACUUUUUUAAUGGUUGACCUCGGAUCAGGUAGGAAUACCCGCUGAACUUAA
rnacentral:misc_RNA from 1 species